rnacentral:lncRNA from 1 species
UACUACUUCUUAUAUAAAACAUGCAGCAAAAUUACCACGAUAUGAAGGUGUUGCAUAUGAUGAUUUAUCUAAAAGUUGGAUUAGUACAUUUGUUGUACAUAAAAAUUUUUCCAUAGAUGAACAAGGUUUUUAUGAGGCUAGAAAACGUGCUAUUUAUUGUAGAAAAGUAUUUGAAAAAAUUAACACGCGAGAUGAUUAUGAAUUUAUACUACAUCAUGUGUUAGGAAUGGAUCAGGAAGAGUUUGAAGAAUUAAAUACUUUUUUUAAUAUAAAUAAAAAUGAGUUAAAACACACGAGUGAGUUAAGUCCUAACCCAAAUGAUAACAAUUUUAAAAUUAUAAGUGAUUUAGAAAAUUUAACAAAUAGUUGCAAUAUGAAUAAUGGUAAUAAUAACAUUAACAAUGGGUUAGUUUUUGACAAUAGAAUGAAUUAUAAUACAAAUAGUACAAUUAAUACUAUGCUUGCAUGUAAUGAAGAAAAUAGCAUGAAUAAUAAUGAUAGUGCUGAUAUGGAAAUAUUGAACGAAAAAUUUUUAAAAACAUUAAUNNNNNNNNNNAAAAAAAAAAAGACUAUUGGUACUACUUCUUAUAUAAAACAUGCAGCAAAAUUACCACGAUAUGAAGGUGUUGCAUAUGAUGAUUUAUCUAAAAGUUGGAUUAGUACAUUUGUUGUACAUAAAAAUUUUUCCAUAGAUGAACAAGGUUUUUAUGAGGCUAGAAAACGUGCUAUUUAUUGUAGAAAAGUAUUUGAAAAAAUUAACACGCGAGAUGAUUAUGAAUUUAUACUACAUCAUGUGUUAGGAAUGGAUCAGGAAGAGUUUGAAGAAUUAAAUACUUUUUUUAAUAUAAAUAAAAAUGAGUUAAAACACACGAGUGAGUUAAGUCCUAACCCAAAUGAUAACAAUUUUAAAAUUAUAAGUGAUUUAGAAAAUUUAACAAAUAGUUGCAAUAUGAAUAAUGGUAAUAAUAACAUUAACAAUGGGUUAGUUUUUGACAAUAGAAUGAAUUAUAAUACAAAUAGUACAAUUAAUACUAUGCUUGCAUGUAAUGAAGAAAAUAGCAUGAAUAAUAAUGAUAGUGCUGAUAUGGAAAUAUUGAACGAA